rnacentral:rRNA from 4 species
CAUUCGGUGGCUUGAGGCGGUGGAACUACCUCUUCCCAUUCCGAACAGAGAAGUAAAACGCUGUACUGCCGAUGAUACUCCUUUUGGGGGAAAGUAGGCAGCCGCCGAUU